AGAGCUGCGCUGAGCCCAGCGUGAAUGUGCGAGUGGCAGCCCUGUGCCGGGAGAGGAGUGCCCCAAAGAGGCUCCGAGGCCAGCCCUGUUCACUGACGGUUUCAGUGAGAAACAAGGGCCGGCAGCCAAAGCACCUGUGUGGGCAUCCUCCCACAAGGGGAAGGCAGAGGGAGACAAACGUCCCAGAGCCCUCGGGUCCUGGGGCCGGCAGGGAGGGGGCCAGGGAGACAUGGAAGGAAGGGGAUGAGCUAACCAGCAGUGCAGGGGUACGGAGACGUCGCCCGAACUGCCAGCCCCAUCCUUCCCCUCAGUUCCUUUGCCAGUCUACUUCAGACAUGUGGCCAAGGCUCAGCUCAGGGACAGCUGUCCUCCACGAAGGGCCGGCAGAGGCACCCACUUCUGCACUGCCACCGCCAGGGGCUGUUCCAUCUUCAUACCUGACCCAUCACAUCACAACGGCCUGAAAAUGUGACGCUCUCCCUACAAGACUGGGGACAGCGCGGCAGGGCCCGGGCCGCAUCCACCCCAUGCCUCACACAGAGUGCAGAACUGGCCCGUGCCGGUACUCGGAGGCUAAAGAGAACAAAUGAAUGAGUGAAUAAAUGGAGAGAGAGCAGGAAAGGAAGAAAAGAGAAAGGAAGACUAGCAGGGAGGGAGGAAGAAAUAUAUCACAUUCGUUUUGGCUACGGUGAAACAAUACAGGACUCCAGUAACAUAUUACAAAAAAUUAGCAAGUUUUUAAGGACAAGCUGUCUGUCUGUCUGUCUGUGUCCCAUUCUAAGCUGGCACACAAACGGUCUUUCAGAAUCUCAGGCCUAAUACCUUCCUUCCAUAUACUCAGAGAUGCCAUCCUAGCCUAACCCUCAAGUUCACACACAAGGGAAGCGAAGCCCAGAGAAGUAAAGAGCACAGUCAAGGUCACCAAGGCAGAAAGCACCUUGGGGUGAUGGCCAGGUCACCACAGGCCAGGGGCCAGCAACACCAGAGGGCUUCCAGGCACAAGGGCAGCUCAGAGAGGCCCCCUCAGCCAUCCUGAAUCCUGAGCCAGGACAGCACCUGAGCAGUCGGGGAUGUGAACGCCUGUCUGAGCAACGCAAGCAUCUUCCUGAAAUGGCAUCUGGCAAGGAGGCGAGCAGCCAGGUGCCUACUCCCCACUCUGCCAGGCAGCGGCACACCUCACACUCGGAGAUGUCACGCGUAGUGCUGAUGCCAAGCUGUCACGUCUCCUUGUACUAAAAACGGUAGUUUGUUCCUUCCCCUCUCUCCGAAUAGCAACGUCUGUCUGGGAGCUCCUCAGCCCACUGCCUCCUGUUGACAGCCUGACACCCAGGUCCAGGCCGGAGGUGUGGCCCUCACCCGUGCCAGCACCACUCAUGCUGGCUUGAGCAGAGCAUGGUGGCACUCUUGGGCAGUUCCCAGAAAACAACUUCAAGCCCUCUGCAAAAUCAACCUCGAGAGAUGGCUGCCUCUCAACAGAAAACUCCUGGGGUGGCGUACGGACCUCAGUGAGUGCCAUGGACCCCUCUCUCACCUGAGGCUAGCAGCCGCCCCACGAGCGGGGCAGAUCUGAAACCCAGUGCCAGAGGCGAUGACAUGAGUGCCCUCACCAUGUGGUGGCCGGUUCCAUGCAGGAAGCCCCAGGAUCAGGUGACAGGAGCAACCUGAGCUCCCUCCACUAUUCCAGCCGGGGCCUCAGGGGAGCAAAGUAAGAGAAACCCACAGCUGAGGACCCAGACGGUGCUCCCGGACGCAGCCGCGAGGAAGAACUGUGCUCAUGGAGGCCGGGUAUGUGUCUAAGCUCGUGUUCUCUAACCUGCGUUCUGAAACAGCUGUGUCACAGGAGAGGCCUACAGGUACCCGUAAAAAUGGAAGGACAAAGCCACACCCAGGUCUCUCCGGCAGGUUCCCAGAGCCUCUGCCAGGCUUCCUGCAGCAACAGUUUCCAAGAGGUGACGCGAGAAGGGCAGCUCCCUAAUUUACUUCGUCAAGUAACUUACUUGACCGUCUCCUUGCUGGUCCUCAGUUUAAUAUAUGGGAUCUUUCCCUAAGCUAGAGAGAGUUCAGAAUUUUAAGACACAGAUGUAAGGCAGAACGCUUUCCUGCAAAGUCCCUUUGUUCUUGAUACUGGGUGACACCAGGUGAGUCACACCAGGUGUUAUCUGAGCUGAUCCCUCAUAGCAGAGAGGCCGGCGUGGGUGUGCUCUCUAACAGCCGCACAACUGCGAAAGUCCAAGCGCAGAUCCGGUUCCUCUGACCCACCCUGGGCCCGAGGAAGGGCCGAUGGGUCCCAAGUCACGCUCUGAAGAGAACCUGGUUGCAGCCUCUCCCCCUUAAAGGGACUGCCCCCCCGCCAUCUGCUUCUUAUACCUAAGAGGAUUGACAGCACACACUGAGGGAUGGCUCCUUCUCUUGGGGACCACAAGGGGCUGACUUUAUUCUCCAACAGCGAUGUCACAAAGCGACAGCAAGGAGGAAUGUCCCCUGGCACAAUGGCAAUGUGAAGCUUGGAGAACAUCCUGUGCCAGCUCUCCCUUCCAGGUUAAUGCCACUGUUCUCAUGGGACCAGAGCAAAUGGAGCCCCCUACCCCCUGCCCCCUGCUUUCUUGGGUCAGGGCAGCAGGUUCUGUGAUACAGACACAGGCAGCAAAGUCACCGGGUGAAGGGCCAAGAAAGCACCCUACACUCCAAGGGGCUGUUCAAGGUCCCCAGCACUUGGCAGGACUGGCUCCAUGGGGGUCAUCCCAAGGCUUGGCGUGGGGGGCACUUCUGGGCAGACUGCUCUAGCUCUGAGAUGGGGCACGAAAGGAAGAAGGGACAAGAGCAGCAACGGUGCCCCUCCUGUCCCCGCUCCUACCUACCGCCUCCCGCCACCAAACACCCUGCCCACAGUUCUCAGGGGACGGGCUGUUCCAGCACCAGCACUCCGACCUUAGGGCUCACUGACCCCCUACUCCCUACUUUGGGCCAACAGAGAAACAAAAACAGUUCCUGAGAGUUCAUUACGUUGCAGACGCUUGCUUAACACUUGAUAUUAUCUUAUGAAGUUGUUUCUCUUAUCAUCCCCAUUUUACAGAGAGGGAAACCGAGGCCUGGAGAGGUCAAGGAAGCUGCCCAAGGCCACAGAGGAGAAGUCAGCGGGAUAGGACUUGAAACCAAGUGUUUGACUCCAGGGCCCACACUCUUGCUGCUCAAGGAUCUCAAAGGACGUGAGCUAACCGGCGCCUGGUAAACUCGUCCACCACCCUUGGCCUAGGGGAGGACGUCAGGAGGUGUUAAAAAGGAUGCCAACGUGAGGACCUCAAAAGCGGGGAGUGGGCAGCGACUCUGGCCGACCAUAAGGUUCCCUGAGGACAAGGGUCAGGCUCAGAAGACAAAGACGAACAAAGAGCUAGCUGGAGAGCAUCAUUCAUAUGCUGUGGAUCAAUAAUGGCAACGCAAGAAGAGAAGACUCCAGCCCUCAAGAACGAAACAGCAAGAAGAAUUUAACACUCUCCUCCUCCCCAGCCCCCAAGGCUCAGGGAGCUGGGGUGAUGUCUCAGGGUCUGCACUGACAUGAACUUGCAUCGGGGGCCUGGCCAUUCCUCCAGCACCCCCUUCUCCCAGCCAUCCUCCAGUCUGCUGUCAUCUCUGGGCCUGGGAGCACGCUGGACCCUCUGCCUCUCCCACCCAGCUGGCUCAUCCCAACUCAGCAUUAAAGACUGGAUCCGGCAUCACUUCCUCCUGGAGGCUUCUAUGACCUCCCGCCACCACUUGCAAACAGAGUGAGGUGUCUCUCCUUAUUCUCCCACAGCAGCUUCUGUAGGGCUCACUGAUCACACUGGUAAGAAUAAUGAGAAUGAUAGAAGUAAUAAUAAUAGCGGCCAUCACGUACUUAGUAGGAACCAGGUACAGUCUGGCACUAUAUGAAGUGCAUACAUAUAAUCUCAUCUUAUUAAUUUCAGUUAAUCCUCAUAACCCCUCUGUGAGCUUUGCACAAAUGAAUAAACUGAGGCUCAGAGGUGUUACAGAACUUGCCCAAGGUCACAGAUCUCUCAGGGCAGAGCGGAGAUGCAAACUCAGGAAUGACCCGAUUCCAAAGUCGGUGUGUCUGACUUCAAGUCAUUGCCGAUCAGGUCUCCCGUUCCUUGCAGCUGGCAGCACACCGAAUUAUGUGAGUGCCCCUUGAGGCCGGGUACUUCCCAGUCCUUGUCCUAAAGUUCACAGCGACCCUGCAAGCUGGGUGAUGCUGCCCCCACUGUGCAGCUGGAGAACGUAAGGCGCGGGCAGUUUAAUAAGUUGCCUGUGGUCACAGAGCAAGAAAACAGCAGGGUCAGGUUGGAACUUGCACCCAUCUACUGCACAAGUCUACGCCCUUUCUACUAUACCACACUGCCGCCCCUCCUCCACAUGGACCUAUUUGGAAAAAGAAUCUGAAGUAUAG